CAACUGAUAUGACGUGCUUGCACUGAAUUGACGUUGGAUUACCAGUGAGCGGCGGACGGGUGAGUAACACGUGGGCAACCUGCCCUGAAGCGGGGGAUAACAUCUGGAAACAGGUGCUAAUACCGCAUAACAACGAAAACCACAUGGUUUUCGUUUCAAAGAUGGUUUCGGCUAUCACUUCAGGAUGGGCCCGCGGUGCAUUAGCUAGUUGGUAAGGUAACGGCUUACCAAGGCAAUGAUGCAUAGCCGAGUUGAGAGACUGAUCGGCCACAAUGGAACUGAGACACGGUCCAUACUCCUACGGGAGGCAGCAGUAGGGAAUCUUCCACAAUGGGCGCAAGCCUGAUGGAGCAACACCGCGUGAGUGAAGAAGGGUUUCGGCUCGUAAAGCUCUGUUGUUGGAGAAGAACGUGCGUGAGAGUAACUGUUCACGCAGUGACGGUAUCCAACCAGAAAGUCACGGCUAACUACGUGCCAGCAGCCGCGGUAAUACGUAGGUGGCAAGCGUUAUCCGGAUUUAUUGGGCGUAAAGCGAGCGCAGGCGGUUGCUUAGGUCUGAUGUGAAAGCCUUCGGCUUAACCGAAGAAGGGCAUCGGAAACCGGGCGACUUGAGUGCAGAAGAGGACAGUGGAACUCAUGGGUAUAACGGGG
rnacentral:rRNA from 1 species